rnacentral:rRNA from 1 species
UACGUAGGGUCCGAGCGUUGUCCGGAGUUACUGGGCGUAAAGCGCGCGCAGGCGGUCCCGCGCGCCCGGCGUGAAAUCCCCGGGCUUAACCUGGGAACUGCGCUUGUGACUGCGAGGCUGGAGUGCGGAAGAGGGAGGUGGAAUUCCACGUGUAGCAGUGAAAUGCGUAGAGAUGUGGAGGAACACCGAUGGCGAAGGCAGCCUCCUGGUCCAGCACUGACGCUCAUGCACGAAAGCGUGGGGAGCAAACAGG